ensembl:lncRNA novel transcript
UGAUAUGGUUUGGCUGUGUCCCCACCCAAAUACCAACUUGAAUUGUAUCUCCCAGAAUUCCCAUAUGUUGUGGGAGGGUCCCAGGGGGAGGUAAUUGAAUCAUGGGGGCAUCUUUCCUGUGCUAUUCCUAUAAUAGUGAAUGAGUCUCAUGAGAUCUGAUGGGUUUAUCAGCGGUUUCCACUUUUGCUUCUUCCUCAUUUUCUCUUGCCACCACCACGUAAGAUGUGCCUUUCACCUCCCGCCAUGAUUCUGAGGCCUGCCCAGCCAUGUGGAACGAUACACCGAGUUUUCCUGUGUGUUCAGGUGUUUGUUCCGAGGGUGCGUUAGUGGACGAAUUCCUCCACCUGUGCAUCUGGAGACCUGGGGAUGUCUAUGCUCUUUGCCCCCUGCCAGGGUUGAGCAUGUGAUCAUAUCUCCAGCGGACGACACCAAAAGAAUGUCUGUGACCUCGUCCCCUGGCGACCACGUCUACAGUGACUGAGUGCUGCCGUGGCUGGAAAGCCAGGGUCUGCAUCUCCCAGGACCUCAGGACCUGUGAUGAGGUGUUGUGGGGCCAAGAAGAGGAGGGGGUCCAUGGUGGGCUCUGCCGCAGGUGACCCUGCGCACUGUCCUAGCACCUGUGCCUAAGGAGAUGCCCUCUAUGGUACCAAGCAUCUCCCAAAAUGUGAUUUGCUCUUCCUGUGAUAGAAUGGAGUGGGCUGAGGGGGCGAUGGGUGCUGGAAAGCCACAAGGCUGCCAUUGAUCUGCCAGAGAAGGCACCUGCUCACCUGGCAGGAUGCUCACCUGGCAGGAUGUUCACCUGGCAGGAUGCUCACCUGGCAGGAAUAGCAAAUUUGCUAGAAAAAUGCAGGUUCCCCUGUUCUGGGUGAUCUGUGACUUCUGCCACACAGGGGAUCCAGAGUGCGAGGAUAUCCAGAGAGCUGGAAUGAGGAUUUUGCUGAGCUGAGGGCUAAGCUUGAAGCAGAAGAAACCACAGUAAAAACACUGGUCAAUGUAUGCUCGGAUCUACUCAGCGACUUUCCAGAGAGCCGUGUGGCUUUACUAAUGACAGACAUCGUGGUGCAUUCCAGACCCCUGGGCUUGUUCAUCUGACGUCACUGCAACCUCCUGAUUCCACUCAAUAGGCCAAGACAAGCGGAAGCUCCGGUUCAGGGAGAACGUUCCCCAGGAAAUCAGGGCAGCAGAGUUUUCCAGGAACGGAGGCUGUGACGGUGGAGGGUGGCCAGGCAGCAGGAGGCCGGGGAAGCGGGUGUCCUGAAGCAGAGGCCGCGGCGCCACGUGUAUGGCAGCUUGCAGGAUAAAAGCCAAAGUGAUUGCUCCAAAUGGACAUCCAUGCCAGUCAUCUGUGUAAGGAUCGCUGAGUGUCUCACAAAAGCACGUGGGUAUGAAGGUGGGGUUGACAUUGAUGAUUAAACCAAGCAGUACAGAAGCAUCGGUGCUGGUCACUUAUCCCCGUCCUUCCCAUCAUUCGAGAUCCCCUUCCAGCGAAUGGCAUCUUCUGGUGUGUGCAGGACCCGAUGGAGGAGUGAUGAGACCUCAGAGCCAUGUCCAGGCUCUUCCAGUCAGUUGGUGGCCUCCACAAAUGCCAGCCAGCCCGCCCAAUGCAAGCUUCUGCUUGGCCAACGUGUAGCAGUUACGAUGCAGCAAUUGGAAGAGGCUGUGGGGAUCAGUAAUUCCAGUGGGGGAGCGACGGACACCCCUAAGAACCCAUUCCACGAUUUUAGUCCCAAAUUGGAUUUUGCUUGGAGAAAUUCUCUGCCCUGUAGUAGUGGUUUUUAAGAUCACAGAUAUUGGAGUAAGAAAGACAAGGCUCUUCUAUUUGCUGGUCUAUUGACUCACAGGGGAAUACCAGAGAACUUGGCAUCCAGAAAACAGUCAACAAAUGAAGACAGUGCAACUAAGACCUGGGCGCCAUGUUCCUUCCCUAAGGCUCAUUUCACUAGGAUGCUGUGUCAGCACGCGCACACACACACACACACACACUCACACACUCCAGGAAGCCUCUAAAAGAAAUGCAAGUGUUCUCCAGUAGAAGGAGCAUCGCUGAAAUUUACUCAACAGCACGGUCUUCGUGUCUUUCCCUCCCAGGCCCACACUCUCAGCUGCCUCCUCCCCUCUCGCUCCUUUCCUCCUGUGUUCUCCAGCAAGGGUGAGGACCCACUGUCAUUCAGAAAACCUCCUCCUAGUUUUUCUAUGCAGGGAGUCAUUCACACAUCCAGCAAGGAAAACAGGGGCUUGUGCAGACUCUCCUUGGGAGGUAAUGGGAGAGGGAUUCUAAAUGCUUGUCACAUUUUUACCUGACACUGUUACUACCAUGUAACUACUAAUAACUAAUGCCAACUUCUGAAUCAUAUUUCCUAUCAUCUUAUGAGAGAGAACUCUGUGGUGUAUAAACACCAAAUCACAAAUCUCCACUUUACAUUCUUGUUUGUCUACUUGUUUGUCUGUUUUCCACUGCAGUGCAGGAGCCCGUGGAGGAGACCCGGUUUCCAGCACCGAGGGGCUCAAGAAUCUCAGGUCACCUGUGAGAUGAGCUCUGAGCACUUGCCCACACUCCUGAGCAUGAACAUAAAGCCCCAUCACAUGCAGUGGCAGAUGGUUAAGACAACAACCAACCAUCUCGUCAGAUAAAAGCUUCGCUCCACUUAAAGUGGAUGAUUUUUAAAUUUGUUUGUAAAACCUUUGAUAUUUGACUACUAAGAAAUUAUAAGAUCCCUAUGGACAGGCAACUAAUUUUCUACAUUUCCUGGUUCUUUAAAAAUAAAUAAUUGUCAUA